rnacentral:rRNA from 1 species
UGGGGAAUUUUGGACAAUGGGCGAAAGCCUGAUCCAGCAAUGCCGCGUGUGUGAAGAAGGCCUUCGGGUUGUAAAGCACUUUUGUCCGGAAAGAAAUCCUUGGCUCUAAUACAGUCGGGGGAUGACGGUACCGGAAGAAUAAGCACCGGCUAACUACGUGCCAGCAGCCGCGGUAAUACGUAGGGUGCAAGCGUUAAUCGGAAUUACUGGGCGUAAAGCGUGCGCAGGCGGUUUGCUAAGACCGAUGUGAAAUCCCCGGGCUCAACCUGGGAACUGCAUUGGUGACUGGCAGGCUAGAGUAUGGCAGAGGGGGGUAGAAUUCCACGUGUAGCAGUGAAAUGCGUAGAGAUGUGGAGGAAUACCGAUGGCGAAGGCAGCCCCCUGGGCCAAUACUGACGCUCAUGCACGAAAGCGUGGGGAGCAAAACAGGAUUAGAUACCCUGGUAGUCCACGCCCUAAAACGAUGUCAACUAGUUGUUGGGGAUUCAUUUCCUUAGUAACGUAGCUAACGCGUGAAGUUGACCGCCUGGGGAGUACGGUCGCAAGAUUAAAACUCAAAUGGAAUUGACGGGGUCAUAGCUGUUUCCU